CGGGCGUGGUGGUGGGCGCCUGUAGUCCCAGCUACUCUGGAGGUUGAGGCUGGAGAAUGGCGUGAACCCGGGAGGCGGAGCUUGCAGUGAGCCGAGACGCGCCACUGCACUCCAGCCUGCGCAACAGAGCGAGACUCCAUCUCAAAAGAAAAGAAAAGAAAAGAAAAGAAACUUUUAAUGAACACUUAACAGGUGUUCAGACUCAAACUGGGCCACACCACUGGCUUUCUGGGUCUCCUGUUUGCAGAUGGCAGACUGAGGAGUUCUCAGCUUCCAUAAUCAUCUGUGGGAGGCAGAACACGGGCCCACAGAAGAUGUCCAUGAUCUAAUCCCUGAACCUGCAAAUUGUUACCUGAUGUGGCUAAAGGGACUUUGUAGAUGUGAUGGAAGUUAAAAGAUCUUGAGAUGGGAAGAGUAUCAUGGAUUAUCCAAAUGGUGUCAUGUGCAAGAUAGGAAUCAUAACAAGACCUACCUCAGAGGGUAACGGAAAUUAAAUGAUAUGAUGUAAGCAAAAGCACAAUGCCUGGCAUGAGAAAUGAUUGAUAAAUAUUGUCUAUUAAAAUUAUUAAUUAUCCUAAAAAUAUUUUUAAUUGUUUUAUUAUUGUAAACAUUAUUUGAAUUGUUACACAUAAUUGGCAUUGUACAAAAUAUCAGAUUAAUGGAAACACCCU
rnacentral:lncRNA from 10 species